rnacentral:rRNA from 1 species
AUGGCCGGCCAUGGCGACGAGGUGACGACGAACAGGAAGGUGGUGCUGAGGAGGCACGUGACAGGCUACCCGACGGCGGAGGACAUGGAGGUGGUCGUCACCUCCGACGUCCGGCUGCGGGUGCCGGAGGGGCCGACGCCCGCCGUGGUGGUCAAGAACCUGUACCUUUCCUGCGACCCGUGGAUGCGCGGCCGCAUGACCAAGCACGACGUUGGCGAUGCCGUGCCGGCCGAGGACUUCGUGCUUGGAGAGGCCUUGGUCAAUUUCACGGUUGGCAAGGUGCUCGACUCGACGCACCCGGAGUUCGACGCCGGCGACCUCGUCCGGGGGAUGAGUGCAUGGGAGGAGUACACCCUCAUCACCCAAACGGAGGGCCUGUUCAAGAUCAACCACCCCGAGCUGCCACUCUCACACUACACAGGUGUUCUUGGCUUGGCAGGGCUCACUGCAUAUGCUGGACUUUUUGAGGUUGGCAAGCCAAAGCAAGGUGAAUCUGUUUUUGUGUCGGCAGCGUCUGGCGCCGUGGGUCAGGUCGUUGGACAGCUCGCCAAGAUCGCAGGAUGCUAUGUGGUUGGAAGUGCCGGCUCCGAUGAGAAGGUGAAUCUCCUGAAGAGCAAGAUGGGCUUCGACGAUGCGUUCAACUACAAGUCGGAGGGGGGCGACCUCGGCGCGGCGCUCGGGCGGCGCCUCCCCGGCGGCAUCGACGUCUACUUCGACAACGUGGGCGGCGCGACGCUGGACGUGGAGCUGCUGCGCAUGCGGCCGGGCGGCAGGGUGGUGGCGUGCGGGAUGAUCUCACGGUACAACCUACCGGAGCACCAGGGGGUGCGCAACCUGUGGUGCACCAUCCCGAAGCGCGUCCGGGUGGAGGGCUUCUCCUGCAUGGACUACCACCACCUGUACCCCAGGUUCGAGGAGGAGAUGGCCAGCUACAUCAAGGCAGGGAAGGUGACCGUCGUGGAGGACGUCGUCCGAGGGAUCGACAAGGCGCCCGAGGCUCUGGUGGGCCUGUUUUCUGGGAGAAAUGUAGGCAAGCUGUUGGUUGCUCUUGCAUGA